UCAGGGUUCGCGGGAGAGACUCUGCAGCGGUGCAAGCUAAAACCGCAAGAAGGCGCAACCGCCCGGAAACGCUCAGGCAAACGGACCGAGAACCUAUG
rnacentral:ncRNA from 2 species